rnacentral:ncRNA from 2 species
UAGUGUGUAGGAGAGGUUUUAAUUAAGCAGUGGAAACAAGGAAACACUUGUUUAAUUAAAACCAAUAU